UGGAACAGGUUGCAGACUAGUUGGAUUGAAUUGCUGGGUAUGUCAGACUACACAACAGCCAUUAAUUGGAAUACAUUGCGAUUGCAUCCGUCUCCCUAUGAUUAUGUAAAUGAAGUCUGCAACUGGAAGUUGCCUGAAAAGUCCUGUAAUUUUAUGGAUGAGUUGGACAAUGUGGCUUAGCUAUUUAUUAUUAACAUACUGUAGAGUGAUACUAACUGCAAUUUUCAGCAUACCUAAAAACAAAAUGCCUGACAAUAAAAAGAAGAAACACGCUUUCACCUUGCUGUAAUGUCUGGAAUGAAGAUGAGUGUCAUUUUCAUUCUUUAUAUGAUGACAUAUGAACUGCUUUGUAAUUCUAGGUGUUGAAACUGACAGAAUCCUGAAAACUAGAUUGAAACAAGCCAGACAUUCUUUUUCUUUUUGUAAUGCAAAUGACUGAUGUAAUGAGCGUUCGCGAUGAUCACAAGCAGCCGUAAGUCUUUUUGACAGCGUCAAAGUGAUGGGACAUCACCUGCCAGUGUUCACAUCUUUGUCACCUCUUUGGUCCUCUUUUAACAGGAAGGGCAUUCAGUGAGUGCCUGAGAGGAGGUGGCGAGAGUGUAUUAUUCCCCAAUAAAAGUAUGAAAUUAAGCAGCACAAAGAAAGCGCCCAGUGAGGACAACUGACUCCGCCCCUUCCAGUCCAGAAGCUAUAAAUUCUGCUGCUGCCUGGAGGAGAUGUUCAGUCUUGCACUGAACCAAACACAAGAAGAACUUUCUUCCUGACUACCUUUCAAUCACCUAGCCUGAUAGCAGCCCUCUUUUGAUGCCUUCCUGUUGGUGCACAUAACAGCCCUCAUUUUUGUUUGACUUAAAUAUAAUACUUUUGUUAGAAUUAAAUGGGGAUGACCAUUUUCCAGUGAUGACUUGCAAUUAGUUCCUUUACUCAACCACAACUGAUUGCUCUGUAAAAUUCUUUGGGAAAAUUCCCACUCUGAAUAUCACUUCAUAAAAUAAUGAUUGAUUCCUAUAUAAAAUUAUGAUAGAUCUCAGUCUGAAUGGUAAAAACAUAACCUAGCAUAACAAUCUUAAAUCUGCUUGCUCUACUUCAGUGUUCCGAUGGGACUAGGGCUUCAUUUGUGAAGCUUGCGUACAAGAAAAAGAGGCUUGAAACAUGCAUGUGCAACUUCCCACACAAACGUUGGGAUUUAUAAAAGAAAAGGUGACGGGGAACAUGCGUAUAUUUACAGUGGCUCUGACCUAUGCAUAUGCAACAUUUUGGAGAAACUGGAAAAUAACAACACUCUUCAUCAAAUGGGUAAAACCAGCUAAAUUCAUAGUAAUAUGUAUCAUCAAACUGUUACUAUAAUGUGACGUGACAGACGUGAUGAUGUAUAUGGUGCUUGGUUUAUUGGUUAGGUAACUGGCUAAACCCUCAGUUUUUUAUAUGGCCUUUACUAUUCAUUGUAACAGCAAUCAUGUCAUUGCAUGUGUCAGAUAAUAGUGGUUACCUGCUCAGACGCCAGCACCUUAUGCCUUUCUCUGACCCCCAGAAUGCAGAGGAGAGAUGCUAUAAUGCUGAGCAUUAUCUUGCAUUCUCAGAUUAUUCAGAUAAACAUGAAUGUAGGUGGCGGUGUCUCAAUGCGUCAAGUGGGAGAGUGCUGUACCAGCAAAUGAGGUUCUGUUGCAUCGUGAUUGCAUAUUUAUAAGGUUAAAUAGCAUGCUCUAUAUAUGGAUGUUUCAGGGCAGUGUUCAAGGCACGUUCAUGUAAAACACUUUUACAAAGUGAUUGUAAUUUAUAAAAGGUAAAUUGCAUAAAAAUAUCAGUAUGCCAGGUUUUAUUAAUGUGAUAUUGUUUUUUGCCAUACACAUUUUCCUGUGGCGUGCACAUAUUUUCACAUUAGAGUCAACACAAAGUUUUGUGAAUGAGACCACUGGACCGUAACCAGGCAACAACCAAUCCUGGAUGGAACUCCAGUUCAUCACAGGGUGAAUUCCUGCAUUCAACGGGGUCCAAUUUAGAAUUUCCAAUUACACCAAUAUGGACAUCUUUGGAAUGCCUGAGUAAACCUGAAGUACCUGCAGAAAAAAAACAAUGUAGACAUGAAGAGAAUGUGCAGGCUCCCCAGAGAUGGCAAGCAGGCAGGAAGGAAGGAAUCUCUGUAACAGGAGUGCUAACCACAACAUCUCCACACUUUCCACUCUGCGUGAUGCUACUGUAUAUAAAUUAAAGAUUGACUAUUUGGUAUCAGCAGACCCCCGUGACCCUGUGUUCAGAUUCAGCGGGUUGGAAAAUGGAUGGAUGGAUGGAUGGAUAUUUGGUAUCAGAGAUGUUUGUAGCAAUAAUCACAGUGAAUGGUGCUUUAAAAUAUAUGAUAAACAACAUUCUCUAAAAGCAUCAGACUGGGUUCACAUCACAUGUUUAAUAUUUUGAGACAAGUAAAAGAGUAACAUUUGUCCAAUUAUUGCACUGAAGCAGUUAACCAGAAUAAUUAAGUAAAUGAGUGCCUGUGAAGGUAAAAAAAUGGAAAAUCUUGCCCACCUCCCCUGAAGGAUUCAAGGCUAAUAGGUAUUAGACACAGCUUUAAUGAGCUGAUUACCAGCUGCUCAGCUAUUAAAUGAUGGUCUCUAAUGAGAUGGACACAGAGGUCCCCUGUGCCUGACCAUCAGGAAAGUUCUAAAAUCCUUUGAGCCCCAUCCUCCCUCCCUCCUGCUCUUCCAGGUGGGCAUUGCAAGUCAAUGCCUAAAUUUACAAUGGUAUUGUUCCAUGGUUAAAAAAGAAAAGCCCAAACUGAGUGCCUUGGAUCAAGGAUGGUUCCUGUCAUGUUGUGUUAGGUUAAUUACACCCGAUGUUAGAGAGGACAAGGCUCUGAAUGAUUCUGUGCUUAAGGGAGCAUGUUUUGUCUUGUGUUGUUCACACCACUUAACGGUUGUGAUCUUAAAUAAUGCAUAAGCCAGUCAGCUGCACAAGCCAGGGUGUCACGGGGUGCAAGUCACCCUUGAAAUCAGUAAUGGAGCAUUGCAUAUGGCAAGUAUGCAUCACCAGCUACUGUACUAACACAUGGCCAACCCUCCGGACAGUC